ensembl:lncRNA
CAGUAUUUGAUUAUGAUCUAAAGCAUCACAUGUGAUAGUGAAUAAAGUGAUAGUGAAAUCCUUUGGAAAAAUAAAAGUUGCAAAAGGGUCCUGGACCUGGUGCUGGACUGCCACCAACCCUUGACUGGACCAACAGACAUAUCAGAGAAGUGCUUGUUGAGGGAUCCCUGGGUCUUUGGGGAGUCCCCAUGCAGACCCCAGGAUGGGCGGGACUGGCUAUAAAAGUUGUAGCAGAGCCUGUUUGUGGUGGUGCUUUUGGAAACUGGAGGCCUUGGGGGCAAGGUGAGGGUUUGCGGGGAGAUGGCCACUAGGGUGGCCAUUGCAGGGUGUCUGGUGUCCCUUCUUACCUGGCAACUCAGGACUAUGUGCCGUUUCUUCCUGUUGGCUGAAUCACUCAUUCUUUCCACGGGUAUGUAUUGUUUACCUUGUAGAUGACAAACACUAGAACUUGCAGGCCACAAAUCAGAGAUGCUCUUUUCUUGUCUUCUUUCCAGAUAAGAAGCUCCCGUAUGGAGACCGGGACACUGGGCAUCUCUCCCUGCCUUUCUGCAAACCAAGGGUGCAAAUUGGUUUUGAAAUACCACGGUGACACUAGAAACAACCGUAGAGAUUGGCCAUUCUUUGAACUGACACUCCUCCUGAAGGAAAUGAGGAGAGAAGCCCCCGAAAUAACAGAGAUGGAUGUUUUUACCAUCCAGCGGCAGGAUGGAAACAAGCUGAGCUGUCACUUGUAUUAAAUCAUUGGAAGUGCCAACACGGGGUCCCCAACACUGCUGGGUUCCAGGUGACUCCGAUACACCUGUGCCUCACAGUCCUGGCUCCAAGGUGGUGAGGAACGUCUUUACCAGAGCAACAGACCAUCGAUUCCAAGUCUGGAGCUUAGCAACAUGAAAAAACAAACAAAACACAUAAUAAGUAAAUAGCAAUGGAGAGAAAUCUUUGAAAUGACUUCUGCCUCUUCAAAAUUCAACAAUGACAAAAAUGGAGAGAGUUGAGACCACACAGACAAUGGCCAUGUGGCCACCUUUGUCGUGUUUGUGGCUGCCUGACUCACACCUGUGACAGCUGGAGAGCUUGUCCAGAGGCCUGUCAUGAGCCUCACUUAGGGAGCCUUCCGGAGGUGUCCCUACCUGCGUGUCCCUUGGCGGUCAGCAUCUCAGGCUCCUCCAGCUGUGAUGCUUCUGCUCUGCUCCAUCCUGGUGGCAGCAGGUGACCUUAUCCCUGGGCUCUCUCCAUCCUCACACCUGAACUCAGGGACCUGAGGAUUCGGGUGGGGGUAGGGGGAGGAGUCUUCACCUCUCACAGAGUCAGGACACAGUGAGCAAGGCCGCCCCCUGCAGGCAGCCUCCCGGCUGAGAGCAUGCAUUCAGCCUGGCCCCCUGUUCACCUGGUGUGGGUGCUGGGCAGGCAUCUGGCCUCAUGGUGAGCCAGAGGCUUCUCCUCCUUCCUCGGGUUGUGGGGGUGGGUGGGCAGACUAUGGCUUGCCACCCGAAGGCACAGCUCACUUAGAAGGCCUGCGGGGCUCACAUGUUCCCCUGCCCUCCCUCAGACCCCCAGACUUAUGCCAGGAUUUCUUUAGAGACGUGCAGUCAACCUGAAAUUCUCCUCCCUAGUCCCUGGCUCUCUACACCCAAGGAAACACCUGUCUCUGUGACCACUGUCCUCCAGCAGGUGCUGUUGGGUGGAAGCCUGGUGUCCAUUGAUUUCUGUCUCAGCACGUGGAGGCCCCUGGGAAAC